rnacentral:rRNA from 1 species
GAUGAACGCUGGCGGCGUGCCUAAUACAUGCAAGUCGAGCGAACGGACGAGAAGCUUGCUUCUCUGAUGUUAGCGGCGGACGUGUGAGUAACACGUGGAUAACCUACCUAUAAGACUGGGAUAACUUCGGGAAACCGGAGCUAAUACCGUAUAAUAUUUUGAACCGCAUGGUUUAAAAGUGAAAGACGGUCUUGCUGUCACUUAUAGAUUGAUCCGCGCUGCAUUAGCUAGUUGGUAAGGUAACGGCUUACCAAGACAACGAUGCAUAGCCGACCUGAGAGGGUGAUCGGCCACACUGGAACUGAGACACGGUCCAGACUCCUACGGGAGGCAGCAGUAGGGAAUCUUCCGAAAUGGGCGAAAGCCUGACGGAGCAACGCCGCGUGAGUGAUGAAGGGCUUCGGAUCGUAAAACUCUGUUAUUAGGGAAGAACAUAUGUGUAAGUAACUGUGCACAUCUUGACGGUACCUAAUCAGAAAGCCACGGCUAACUACGU